rnacentral:lncRNA from 1 species
CCAAUGACGGGGCACAGCAGGGCGCGGCCGGCCGCGGGGAGAUCACGCAGCGAAACAAGUCCCGGUGCAUGCACCGGAUCAGAACACAGAGGGAUUCGCUUCCAAGGAAGAGACUGGAGAAAGUGCAAAGAGCUUCGCGGACGAGGCACCCAGCAGAGAGGUCCCUGUGUGGCCAGGUGAAUGGAAAGGGGGACCAUGGAGGAUUCCUGAAGGGUUGACGUCAUUUUGCACUCUGAUUACAGGGUGAUUAG